rnacentral:rRNA from 1 species
AUUGAACGCUGGCGGCAGGCCUAACACAUGCAAGUCGAGCGAGCGGCGGACGGGUGAGUAAUGUCUGGGAAACUGCCUGAUGGAGGGGGAUAACUACUGGAAACGGUAGCUAAUACCGCAUACCAUCAGAUGUGCCCAGAUGGGAUUCGCUAGUAGGUGGGGUAACGGCUCAACUAGGCGACGAUCCCUCGCUGGUCUGAGAGGAUGACCAGCCACACUGGAACUGAGACACGGUCCAGACUCCACCGGGAGUCAGCAGUGGGGAAUAUUGCACAAGGGGCGCAAGCCUGAUGCAGCCAUGCCGCGUGUGUGAAGAAGGCCUUCGGUUUGUAAAGCACUUUCAGCGGGGAGGCGUUACCCGCAGAAGAAGCACCGGCUAACUACGUGCCAGCAGCCGCGGUAAUAC